rnacentral:rRNA from 1 species
GACGAGGCACGCGAUCGCGCGGCGRGCGUGGGUGCUGGCGUCGUCUUCGAAUGCCGACCUCUGUUUCUGAAU